CGUAGGGUGCAAGCGUUGUCCGGAAUUAUUGGGCGUAAAGAGCUCGUAGGCGGUUUGUUGCGUCGGCUGUGAAAUCCUGAGGCUCAACCUCAGGCCUGCAGUCGAUACGAGCAGACUAGAGUGUUGCAGGGGAGACUGGAAUUCCUGGUGUAGCGGUGAAAUGCGCAGAUAUCAGGAGGAACACCGGUGGCGAAGGCGGGUCUCUGGGCAACAACUGACGCUGAGGAGCGAAAGCGUGGGGAGCGAACAGGA
rnacentral:rRNA from 1 species